GUACACGCGUCAUGGUGUUAGUGAGGGCCAUCUUUCUGACAUCCACCUCGUCGUUCGUCGAAUUGCCGUGAAAAAAUUGCAAACGCCCUGUGAAAAGUUAAAAAUUUAAGGCCAUAAUCGACGAUAUUUGUGCUUAACCUGUGAUAAAAACAUAGAUUUGCCGACAUUCGUAACAAAGGCCGAUAGAUUGGUGCAAACAUCGUGCUCUUGAAGCUGAAUUCUUCGUUUUCGUGAGGCAUCUGAGAACAAGCCCCGGACGGAAUCGAGCAACGUCAGGGGAAGUGAAGGGGAACGAUUAGAAGUUGAAAAUUUUACCUGUGUCAGCAGCAAUAGAAUUCAGCUUUUCUGCGUAAAAAACCCUUUGCAGUAAACCAGAUCUAACGCAGCGAUGGGUCGCAAGAAGAAAAAGGCGUCAAAGCCUUGGUGCUGGUACUGCAACAGAGAAUUCGAUGACGAGAAGAUUUUGGUGCAACAUCAGAAGGCAAAGCAUUUCAAAUGCCACAUUUGUCAUAAGAAGCUGUAUACGGGUCCCGGACUAUCGAUACAUUGCAUGCAGGUGCACAAGGAAUCGAUUGACAAGGUUCCAAAUUCUCUUCCAAAUCGGUCCAAUAUUGUGAUCGAAAUUUACGGAAUGGAAGGCAUACCUCCGGAGGAUAUUCGUGAGCACGAGAAACAAAAGAAUGGAAAUCGAUCAGAAUCGGAAGAAGAGGAGCCGGCGCACAAGAAAAUGAAGCAAGCUGAGGCGUCCGUAUCGCAGGGAAUGAUGCAAAUGCAGAAUAUGAUGCCUCCGCAUUUACAGGCUGCGUACAGCAUAAACCCCAUGAUGAGCGCAAUGGGAGGGAUCAAUCCGUACAUGGUACCACCCGGUAUGCCGAUGAUGCCCGCGAUGAUGGCAGGGGCCCAGAGACCCCUCUUUCCAGCCGCCGCCGCAGCCAGUGCUGCCACUGUGACUAGUGCAUCAAAGCCGACGUUUCCAGCAUACAGUUCCGCCACGAUUAGUGCUCCUCCAACAACCAACAGUGCUAUCUCGGCAGCAGCAAGUGGCAACAGCAACAACGGAUUGGGUGGUGGUGAUGCGACGAAAGGCGCAUCGUCGUCCAUCAUGCCUAAUUCGGGUACUGCGACCUCUAAGAUUGUGCACCCGCCAGAGGAUCUCAGCUUGGAAGAGCUUCGAGCGCGCAAGCCCCAGUAUCAAAAGCAAAUUCAGCAAGCUACUCAGCAAAUGCUGCAGCAAAAACAGCAAGAAAAACAACAAGCACAGGUAGCUGCUGCGGUUGCGGCGGCCCAGCAACAACUGCAGGCACAAGCGCAGGCACAACUUAAGCAGCACCAUCAGCAGCAGCAGCAACAACAUCAACAACAAUUGCACCAACAGCAGCAGCAGCACCAGCAACAGCAACAGCAACAACAGCAGCAACAGCAACAGCAGCAGCACCAACAACAACAGCAGUUGCAACAAUUAUCGCCGUUUUCCUCAGCAGCUGGUACCGCUUCAAUCGUUUCCAACACACAAACAACCGCCGCUAUGAAAGAUAAUCGAAUGAUGUCGCCACAAGAGCAAGCCGCUGUGAUAGCACACGCACAUGCCGCCGCAGCCAACCAUCACAAACAGAUCGAGGAAUUGAAUCGUGCUGCAAUGAUUCAUCGGUUUCAGGCAGCAAACGCAGCCGCAGCGAAUGCUGCAGCAGCAGCCGCCAGCAGACCAGGAAUGCCAAUCGGAAUGGUUCCUGUAUCUCUGGGAGGCCCUGUCCCACUUAUGUCUCCAAUGAUGCGUCAAGGACUAGCAAUUGGUCCACCGGGAGGAGGCAACUUGGCGCUUUUAGGGGGAAACAUGCUUCGUCCUGGUCCCCCACAAAUGGGUCUUGGUCCAGUGCAAUGACGUCUCACAAAUUCGAGUUCAACGCACUCGAGAUUUCCUCGUGCGCAAACUGUGUCCGCCCAAGGACACCAGUGCAGUACAAUCGAGAAAUGAAAAAUGAAAUAAAAUGUUAUAAAGGGCUGGAUGAUAAUUUCAUACCUGUUACCACUCUUCCCCGUGUCUAAGAUAAGCCUAUAAAAAUACUACUAACAUCACUUAAAUGUGUAUUCUACCCCUUCUGGCAGUAACCUUGUGUGUAUGUGUGUGUGUAUUUGUUGUGAGUGUAUUUGAGUGUGCGUGUGUGUGCGCGUGUUCUAGGUUUGGUUCCUCUAUUGUUGAUAACCUUGUGUUAAAUGUGUGUUAGUGUAUAGCAUUACUUUUAGGGGCUUCUGUAUGCUUAGAAUCGUCGCCAAGAUGUUAUUAUUGUUUGCACUUUCAUUCAUAGCCGAGAAUACCAACAAUCUCGCCAAACAAUUCUUAACUAGCUAACUAUUAUUUCCUAUUGCAUACAAAUGUUCUGCACAUUUAAUUAUAUAUCUCAUUUCAUUUUCAUUUCUUUCAUAUUAUGUCCUUUCAUUUGUCCUGGUUGCCUUCGAAAUAAGAAACUAAUCCAAUGAAUGCCUAUUUGUAGUUAUUAAUUCAUUCGUGUUUUGUGUGUGUGUGUGUUUUUGUGUCAAAUGUUGUAAAAUGUUAACGUAGUCGAUUGAUUAAUUUUCCCGUUUGCACAUUUUUUUACAAAUUGAUCUUAUAUAUGUCUCAGUAUGAUCAUUGUAGAUUCGUGUUAAUAAUUUUGCUUUCAUACUUGUAGGGUUCUUAAACAAUGAUUUAAGAGAGUCGCUAUAAAGCUACCAAAGUUCGUCAUCGCAAUUAUAUUGUACAUUACUAUGUUUACAUCGCUGAAAGCGGUCGCAUUUCGGCUCGUGCGGUUGGAAAUUCAAACAAUCUGGCAGUACUAAACAAGAACAACGCGAGCAGAUAAGCAAAACAAUUGUUAUUCGUAUCUAUGUUCUAUAUAUCACUACACGUUGUCGUUGCUGUUUUGGAUAUGGUUAUCAUUUGGAUGAUUUUUUUUAUCGUAAUAAUGUUGACUUAAUUUUGUUACUGCUACUAUUGAUAUAACCGCUAAUACUAAUAUUUAUGCUACAACUGCUACUACCAUCACAACCACUAUCAUCACCAUCACCAUUAGCAGCGUCGUUUUGGUUCGGAAUAAAUACAAAUGAAUGAAAUCCCCAAAAUCAAAUAAUCUAGUUUUACGUUGAAUGGAACGCCGUAAUCCAGUAUAUCAUUUCUAAUACGAUACGUCGUUUUGCGUUUGUUUCUUUCCAUUGUUUUUUAUCUGCAUCGAAAAGGUGGUUUAAUUACGCAAAUUCCAACUGUACCAGGCAUGGGUGUAGUUUUUCCUGGAGCACCUAUGCUGCCGAUGAUGCCACCACGAUUCCGGUGAUUGCCUCAGCCAGCGCUGCUACCACAAAAUCCAGUUGCACAACAUCGUUCACUAGUAGCGGCUGCCACGUCUGCUGCGUUACCACCGUUGAUGCAACAGCUUCCAUUAUCAACGAUCUAUCCAUAAAUGCGAGAUGAAGAAGAAAUACGUGGCCAUGGCAUAUUAGGAGCAUAUUACCUUAAGAUUAAUGUGAGUUACGCAUCCUGUAACGGCCUGGAUGCUGCGUGGUAGUUGAAUUCAAACAUAAUGCAGCAACUUUCCGUUUAUUUUAUGCAAAUGACAAUGGGAUGUAAAAAGAAUAUUCAUUCAUCCAGUGUGCAGCACCAUUUGGUUGUGACAUUUAUCUGGUUUUCGCCAGCGUGUUAAUAGCAGCGGUAUGUGGUUUUAAUUAAUUUUCUAUAGUUCUAUAAUCUUUACAAAAAAAAAGACGAAAAUGUUCCGUAGGUGAACAAAUUUUAAGGCAAUAAUUCUGUAAUAAUCCUAAAAUACCAAAACAUAAGGUAAGGAAGUUGGGUUUAGUAAAAUCUAUAUGGAUAUAUGGAAUCUAAAAGGAUACGGCCUGAGAUUAUGUUUAAUCAAUCUAAAAUGCUCAAUUGCGUGAUGUGAAAAAAUACCCACAUCAAAAUAGAGCACAUAAUAAUCGCCGCCAAUUUAAUGUUAGGGCUGAGAAAAAAUGAGCUGUUCAACUAUUGACACCAUGCAUAAUGGGGAAAAUAUUUGCGUUUCGCUUUGUAAAUGUAUGCACAAAAAUUACACACCCAUCAGCUAUACAAAUCUUAUACUCUGUCAAGAUUUUUUAAUUACUUCUUAGUCAGCAAUUACAUAAAAACCCAAUUCUCAAUGCGUUUGGACGUUAAACCUGUCUUUUAACAUAUUUAAUUGUGGUGUUUGCAUCGCACCAGUAAUCAUGAGAAUAUCAUUAUUAUAUGUGCAUCGUAGACGAAGUGCAAUACCAUGGCAGCUGAUUAAGCAUUUGUAGUGGUAAAUAGCUCAUUGUAUUUGUUAUUGUUGCAGUAGAACUAAAUAUUGGUAUACAAAAUUGCUAUUAUAACGCGUUUUCGUACAAUAACGACAUGGUAAUAUUACCUAUUUUCGCUUCCUAAAAGAAAAAAAAACAAUCUAGAAACAGUCCCUCAUUACCUUUAACUCCAUGCUAGAAUGCUUUCAAAUCAUGAAUAUAUUUCUUACUAUACAUUUAGAAUUCACACUAGCAAUAAUGUUGCCUGUAGUGCCUGAUAAUAUUGUGAAACUAUUGUUGUCCAUUGAAAUUACGAAAGUGAAUGAGUGAAAAGAUACGCGUAAACUAUAUGUGCUUAGCAGUGAUUGAAACACGUUUACAAUUUGCCUUGUUUUCGAUAAUUUUACUGCAUUUGAUUUAAAAAAAGGCCAUUAUCUGAAACUAGUUUGUGACAUGGGAUGGAAAUGGAAUUAAUGUUUCUUUCGUUUUCGUUUAAUUUGGCGUUUUUGUGGUGUUUUAAAAUACAUUUAUUAUUUGGAUUACACGUAGGAUUUAACAUUAAAUAUGCGAUGUUUUUUUAAGGUUUCGCUCAAAUUUUAGUUUAAAUAUGUUAUUGAUGUUAUAAUUUUCAGUUUUAGCUUUUCUAAACAUGCUCAAUAACAAUAACUAUAAAUGGUGUGGUAUACUUUAUGAUUUAUUAUGGUGGUGGACUAAAAUGUAAACAGUAAAAUUGACUAGUUUUUUCCUCGUGGAAUUAUAUUCCUGUAUAUCAGUAAAAUCCAUGAAAAUAAUGUUAGAAACGUAGCUCAUUGAUUUUUUCCCCCCAUUUCUCCCUGGUCUGACGCUGUUGUAGUGAACGCGUAUCUUCAAUAACAAAUAAUAAUAGUCAUCUUCCAUCGUAAAUUUGGCCGUGCUCCACCACAUCAUACGGUAAUAGUUAAGUACCCCAUCCAUGAAUAGUUAAGCAUGGUCAAAACAAGCAUUGCGUUCUAUUUAUGCAAUUUUCACUCGUACACUCCCAGGUUUACUUCCUUAUUUACAGUAAGCGUCCACAAGGUGCAGUACCAUCGUACCUCAGCUGGCAGCCAUAAGCAUUACUCGGUAAUGAAUUAGUAGCGCAUUACUCGACGAUUUUAACCAUGAGCCGUACGUACCAGCUAAACAAAGAGGAAGAGAUAAAGGGAGAGUGAAAGAGGAGAUAGCGUAUAUUAGUAAAUAGUAAUAGUUUCAGUUGGUCGUGGAUCCCCUUUCGUUUGCAUCUUUUGUAAGCUUUACCUCUAACUUCAUCACUUGUACUCCUUUUAUAUGUUACUCUAAUCCUAUUGCCGAAAACUGCAGCCUAAUCGUGAUCGAACAGGUGAUUGUAUUGAGAAAGUCGUGCCGCCAGAACACUACUCUACUCUCAGCAAUCACAAAGUUGAUGUUGGACGGACAUCGUUCCGUUCCCACCCUUUGAGUGGUUGGUAGCGUCGCUUCAACCAGCUUCAUUAAGGGUCGGCGACAUUGGUCAGAGCUUGAGAGCUGUUUUAAGCAAGUUGACCAUGUGUCACAUCAGUUUUGUUGAGUGGAAAGUCCCUUGCCUGAGAGCGUCGAAGGCAGGCGAAAUUGUUUGCACAAUUUCACAGUUCCUCUAUUUUUUUUUGUUUGAUUGUUUUUAGAUGUGGUAAUAUGGGAAGAAGGUUUAAUGUGAUUUGUUACACGGUGAAGAUGGUGUAUGGUGUGGUGUUGAAGUUGUUUAAUUCUUCUUUAAAUAAUGCUUUUAAUAAAUAGUUUCAAGCUUCAUAAAGCAUUAGCUUUGUCCUUGUAAUAAUGGAUCAUGAAUGGAUGAGUUAUUCAACAGUAAAAGUGUCGGAAAUCUUUUUAUAUUUAUAACAUGUUACACGUAUGUUUUGUUGGAUAUGGUCUUACGUUUUGGGUUCUUUGCUUUUCACAAACCGUUCUUCAUUGCUACUUAUACAACCUAUCGUAUUUGAUAACUACUUUUAAAAUAAACUAUUUUAAGUUAGCCCUGUUUGCCGUUAUUGUGAUGAUUUUUUUUUAUUCUCACCACCUACGUAUUGGAACUGUUGGACUUUCCAUCCCCUGUUCGUGAUCGACAAUUGGGUAAUUUAAAUUUGAGUACAAACAUCACGUUAUAGUAUUAGGGGUUUUAAAAUGUAGUCCAUGCCUAACUCUUUCCUUCCUUCACUUUCUCUCUCUCUCCCCCCUCCUUCUUUCUAUCUCUCUCUCUCGCGCGCUCUCUCUGUCUCUCUAUUACUUUCUCUUUGCCUCUCCAUGUCCAUGCCUCAUGUGUGUUUCCCUGUAUUUUGUUUCCUUUUUUAUUUCUAUUUCCAUUCUCAGAGAGUAAUGAGAAUAUGCGAUUUAACAUGAGAUGUUUAAAAUUACAAAAGAAUUUGACGAAAAUGUUGUAUUGUAAGCAUAUCUUAUUUUUUUGAGUUUCUUCGCAUAUCUUCCUUGAUAAAUGUUAGCUGUUGCUAAUUUCAUUGUCCUCUGUUGUUUCGGUAUUUGUCUUUGUGGUCGUCUGGUAUCGGUUUUGUUUGAAUGUGCGGCUUUAAUACGCUUCAUACGAGGGUCUAUAUUGUGGGUGCGUGUAGAGGAUUCUACAACAGUGAAGUAGAACCAUUUUGAGUUAGUUUGGCUAUAACUGUAUGACGCAAGUAUGAGUUUGCUAUGAAAACUGUAUAUUCAUGUAUGCCUCACAAUAGGAAUCAAGCGAAAAGUGAAACUGUCCCAUGCUUGAUUAUUGUUGCAUUGUUUAGUUUUACCUUUCAACUAAAGUACUUUUAUCAUUUGUUCCGCGAGUUUAAUAGUUUUUACAAAUAAGCAUUGAUUGAUACAUCGAUUUCAUCUCACCUUCACCUUUUCAUCCAACGUAAAACAAUACUUUCGGUUUGAUUAAACAUGCUGCAUCUGUAAAAAGCAAUAAAUGGUGUAUCAUAAAUGAGAUAACAACACAAGAUAUCGCCAGUUGAAUGGUACUGUUUAUCAAUUACCGCCGCACUGUAUGAGCUAUAGAUUUGGACAUAUAUUUGUGAAGUACGUUGUGUGUAGCUUAAACCACAUCUAACUAUAUAGCACUCACCUGAAUUGGUGCCAGUUCCGAAGCACGCACUUAACAGCAGACGUUUGGUUUUAAAUUACAACGUUUUCAAGGGAUGGCCAACAAAUCCGUCGUGACAGUGGUGCUCGGAGAGCAUAAACCCGAGUGUUGUCGUAGAAACAUAUUCGCUGAUAGAACUAUUGAACGAUAAGCAACUAAAACCUAGUGCAAGAAGCAAUUGUUGACGUAAGUUUUUAGUGUGCAUAUUUCUAGUUUCCGAUAGCAAUCAAUGUAUGUAUGGGUUGUAUGUAUAUAGCAGUUAUGUAUAGUAAAUAUACAUAAGGGCUUUUAUGCAUAUAUAAAUACACAGCUACGUGAGAUUGUGCCACGCUAGGCAAAACGAAACAUGUUAAUAGUGUUUUUAUUUGUUAAGUGUAUUCAUUAGGCGAUAAACUCAAACUAUUCUUUCGAUUAUAUCUAUAUGCGUAGCGUGUCACCUGAGGUAUAGCACAUGAAUGGAAACAUAAUAAAAUAAAUGUAUAAAUUAAAA